rnacentral:rRNA from 1 species
UAUGUGAUCGUCUCUCGCAUAUCAAUAAGCGGAGGAAAAGAAACUAACAAGGAUUCCCCUAGUAACGGCGAGUGAAGCGGGAAGAGCUCAAAUUUGAAAUCUUAAAGGGUUUCCCUUUACGAAUUGUAGUUUAAAGAAGUGUUUUCUGUUGAGGUUUUGGUAAAAGUUCUUUGGAAUAGGACAUCAUAGAGGGUGAGAAUCCCGUAUUUGACCUUUACUUUCAACUUUGUGAUACACUUUCAAAGAGUCGGAUUGUUUGGGAAUGCAGUCCAAAAUGGGUGGUAAAUUUCAUCUAAAGCUAAAUAUUGGCGAGAGACCGAUAGCGAACAAGUACCGUGAGGGAAAGAUGAAAAGAACUUUGAAAAGAGAGUUAAACAGUACGUGAAAUUGUCAAAAGGGAAGCGUUUGACACCAGUGUUGUUUUUCUGAAAAUCAAUUAAAGAACUGUUUAUGCUAAGUUGUUUAGACUUUAUCAGCUAUCUGUUUAGUUUUGAGCUUUUCUUUAAUGCACUUUUCAGUUAACAAGUCAACAUCAAUUUCUUUUGCUGUAAAAAAGCUUGAGGAAGGUGGCUUGAGAUUCGUCUUAAGUGUUUAUAGCCUCUUGCCUAUGCAGUCGGAGAGAUUGAGGUCUGCAGCGUAGAUCCUUCGGGGCUAAAUGCAUUUGUGCUAAGUUAUAACAUUUUAUAGACAACUUGUUGACUAUGAUUUGUCUUGUAGCUUACUCGCUUAUGUUAUUUUACCUACGCUUAGGAUGUUGAAGUCAUCGUAUCGCGC